GUUCGCCUCACAGCAGCAGACCCUCCCUCCCAGACCUUCCCACCUCCUGGACAGCAUCCAUUUUACAUUCAUUGUGAAGCUGCAUUCUUAGUGAGCUGUCCAGGAGGUGGGAGGGUCUGGGAGGGAGGGUCUGCUGCUGAUUGGCUGG